GGCGCGGUAGCUCAGCUGGUUAGAGCGACGGACUCAUAACCCGUAGGUCGGCAGUUCAAGUCUGCCCCGCGCCA
rnacentral:tRNA from 1 species